UAUUCUCUUCUCUGUCUCUCAACACCUCCAACGGUCAGAUCCCCUCCCCCAACGGUCAGAUCCCUUUUCCUUUCCCCCACCCCCAACCCCUUUCCAGCGACUGAUCCCCCUCCCCCAUUUCCCGGCGUCACCCUCCUCCUCAGGCGACGUCACCUUCGGUAACUACGGAAACUGUCAGUUUUCUUUAUAUCUCUCCUCUCUCUCGUUUUGCUUAGCUUUCCUGCAACCGUAGUAAAAAAUCAAUACAUUCCUCUCCAAUAAAACCUCAGACGUCAAAACGCUUCAUCAAUCCCACGCUUCAUAAUCACAACUGGACAAACAAACAACGUUUUCAUAGCAGCAAAGCUUAUUUCUUUAUACGCUUCUAACAAACACCACCUCAUUUCUUUGAAAAAAGUGUUUGAUUUAAUCAGUUCUAAAGACCCUUUUAUUUGGAAAAAAGUAGAUCUGGUAUUUGAUUUUACGGGUUUUAUUGUAUCACAUUUCUUGCCGAUUUAUAACCAUUGUCUAAUCAAUUGUGUUUUUCCUUUGAAUUUGCGAAUUCAAUCAACAUAAACUACCACCUUUCUCUUUUUCCUCGCUCGCUUUUUUUUUUUCUUUUCUUUUUUUCCUAUUCUCUCUUCUGCUUUCUCUAUGUGUGUGGGGGUGUGUUCUGUUUUCUUGGACAGGUGCCUUAUUUUUCCGGCGAGGAUUUUCGGCAGGCUACAAUACUUCCGGCAACUCUCGUUCAGAUUUUCGGCAGGACACAACAGAACUACCCGUUCCGAUAAGCUUCAGGAAAACUUGCCCCAGGUACUAGUCGCGGCGGCUAGGCCAAUUUGCGGCGUUUGGGAGUGAGGAGCUAAGCAACACCGGUCGGGACGUGCAAGAGUUGGUAACAGUUGACCUCGGGCGCAUCAAAGCCUACUUUCAGGUUUUUCCACCGGGAGUUGGUACCUCCCGCUCUCUUUUUUACUCUGUACACAUUUUUACGGAGCUAAGUAACACCGGCCGGGACGUGCAAGAGUUGGUAGCAGUUGACCUCGGGCGCAUCAAAGCCUACUUUCAGGUUUUUCUAUCUGGAGUUGGUACUUCCCGCUCUCUUGUUUACUCUGUACACCUUUUUACAUAUUCUAGCUAGUAUUCCGUGUUAGGUUUACUCUGUUGCUAUCUAUUCUGCAUCUUUUUGCGUAUUCCGCUAUAGUGCGUGUGUGCGUCACUAUUCUCCAUAGUCGGUUGGAAGAGGGUAGUGGUUGCUCAUAGUUUAAGGAUUGGGUCGUGGAACAUAGGCACUCUAACGGGUAAGUCCAUUCAGUUGGCGAAGGUUCUACCGAAGAGGAGGGUUAACAUAUACUGUGUCCAGGAUACUAGGUGGAAAGGGUCGAAGGCGAGGAAUGCAGACGGGUUUAAGCUGUGGUAUUCUGGGGUU
rnacentral:lncRNA from 1 species